rnacentral:rRNA from 1 species
GACGAACGAGGGAGGCGUGCUUAACACAUGCAAGUCGAACGGAAAGGCCCUGCUUGCAGGGUGCUCGAGUGGCGAACGGGUGAGUAACACGUGGGUGAUCUGCCCCUUAUUUUGGGAUAAGCCUGGGAAACUGGGUCUAAUACUGGAUAGGACCAUGCUGUAGGUGGUGUGGUGGAAAGAUUAGUUUCGGUAAGGGAUGAGCUCGCGGCCUAUCAGCUUGUUGGUGGGGUAAUGGCCUACCAAGGCGUCGACGGGUAGCCGGCCUGAGAGGGUGGGCGGCCACAUUUGGACUGAGAUACGGCCCCGAAUCCUACGGGAGGCAGCAAUGGGGGAUAUUGCACCAUGGGCCCAAGGCUGGAGCCGCGACGGCGCGGGGGGGAUGACGGCCUUCGGGUUGUAAACUCCUUUCGGCCAUGACGAAGCCCUUGUGGUGACGGUAGUGGUAGAAGAAGCACCGGCUAACUACGUG